GGUCCCACUCCUUCCCAUUCCGAACAGGACAGUGAAACGCCUCUGCGCCGAUGAUAGUUGGUUGUAUUUCCAGUGAAAGUAGGUCAUCGCCAGGC
rnacentral:rRNA from 1 species